AAAUUGAAGAGUUUGAUCAUGGCUCAGAUUGAACGCUGGCGGCAGGCCUAACACAUGCAAGUCGAACGGUAACAGGAAGAAGCUUGCUUCUUUGCUGACGAGUGGCGGACGGGUGAGUAAUGUCUGGGAAACUGCCUGAUGGAGGGGGAUAACUACUGGAAACGGUAGCUAAUACCGCAUAACGUCGCAAGACCAAAGAGGGGGACCUUCGGGCCUCUUGCCAUCAGAUGUGCCCAGAUGGGAUUAGCUUGUUGGUGGGGUAACGGCUCACCAAGGCGACGAUCCCUAGCUGGUCUGAGAGGAUGACCAGCCACACUGGAACUGAGACACGGUCCAGACUCCUACGGGAGGCAGCAGUGGGGAAUAUUGCACAAUGGGCGCAAGCCUGAUGCAGCCAUGCCGCGUGUAUGAAGAAGGCCUUCGGGUUGUAAAGUACUUUCAGCGGGGAGGAAGGGAGUAAAGUUAAUACCUUUGCUCAUUGACGUUACCCGCAGAAGAAGCACCGGCUAACUCCGUGCCAGCAGCCGCGGUAAUACGGAGGGUGCAAGCGUUAAUCGGAAUUACUGGGCGUAAAGCGCACGCAGGCGGUUUGUUAAGUCAGAUGUGAAAUCCCCGGGCUCAACCUGGGAACUGCAUCUGAUACUGGCAAGCUUGAGUCUCGUAGAGGGGGGUAGAAUUCCAGGUGUAGCGGUGAAAUGCGUAGAGAUCUGGAGGAAUACCGGUGGCGAAGGCGGCCCCCUGGACGAAGACUGACGCUCAGGUGCGAAAGCGUGGGGAGCAAACAGGAUUAGAUACCCUGGUAGUCCACGCCGUAAACGAUGUCGACUUGGAGGUUGUGCCCUUGAGGCGUGGCUUCCGGAGCUAACGCGUUAAGUCGACCGCCUGGGGAGUACGGCCGCAAGGUUAAAACUCAAAUGAAUUGACGGGGGCCCGCACAAGCGGUGGAGCAUGUGGUUUAAUUCGAUGCAACGCGAAGAACCUUACCUGGUCUUGACAUCCACGGAAGUUUUCAGAGAUGAGAAUGUGCCUUCGGGAACCGUGAGACAGGUGCUGCAUGGCUGUCGUCAGCUCGUGUUGUGAAAUGUUGGGUUAAGUCCCGCAACGAGCGCAACCCUUAUCCUUUGUUGCCAGCGGUCCGGCCGGGAACUCAAAGGAGACUGCCAGUGAUAAACUGGAGGAAGGUGGGGAUGACGUCAAGUCAUCAUGGCCCUUACGACCAGGGCUACACACGUGCUACAAUGGCGCAUACAAAGAGAAGCGACCUCGCGAGAGCAAGCGGACCUCAUAAAGUGCGUCGUAGUCCGGAUUGGAGUCUGCAACUCGACUCCAUGAAGUCGGAAUCGCUAGUAAUCGUGGAUCAGAAUGCCACGGUGAAUACGUUCCCGGGCCUUGUACACACCGCCCGUCACACCAUGGGAGUGGGUUGCAAAAGAAGUAGGUAGCUUAACCUUCGGGAGGGCGCUUACCACUUUGUGAUUCAUGACUGGGGUGAAGUCGUAACAAGGUAACCGUAGGGGAACCUGCGGUUGGAUCACCUCCUUA
rnacentral:rRNA from 1 species